rnacentral:misc_RNA from 1 species
GAUGAAGAACGCAGUGAAAUGCGAUAAGUAAUGCGAAUUGCAGAAUUUCCGUGAGUCAUCGAAUCUUUGAACGCACAUUGCGCCCGCCAGUAUUCUGGCGGGCAUGCCUGUCUGAGCGUCAUUUCAACCCUCAUGCCCCUAGGGCGUGGUGUUGGGGAUCGGCCAAAGCCCGCGAGGGACGGCCGGCCCCUAAAUCUAGUGGCGGACCCGUCGUGGCCUCCUCUGCGAAGUAGUGAUAUUCCGCAUCGGAGAGCGACGAGCCCCUGCCGUUAAACCCCCAACUUUCCAAGGUUGACCUCAGAUCAGGUAGGAAUACCCGCUGAACUUAAGCAUAUCAAUAAGCGGAGGA